rnacentral:lncRNA from 1 species
CUACCACAUGAACAAACUGAAUAUUAGCAUGUCUGAACUGCUGAAUAUACUCAAAAAAGCAGAGAGCCAUUUCAAAGGUGAAAAAGCUCCAGUUCUUCUUGUAGAUAAGAUCAACAAGAAGAAUGAUAAGAAGGAUUUCAAAAAAAAGUUGAACCCUAAGGCUAGCAUCUUUAAGAAGAAGACGAAGAAGGUCUUUGCCAAAGAUACUUGCUAUCACUGCGGCA